AGAAUCAACGCUGGCGGCGUGCCUAACACAUGCAAGUCGAACGCGAAAGCCCCGCAAGGGGCAAGUAGAGUGGCAAACGGGUGAGUAACACGUGGGUGACCUGCCUUCGAGCGGGGGAUAACGUCCCGAAAGGGACGCUAAUACCGCAUAACAUCCUGCCUUUGAAGAGGUGGAGAUCAAAGCUGGGGAUCGCAAGACCCGGCACUUGAAGAGGGGCCCGCGUCUGAUUAGCUAGUUGGUGGGUAACGCCUACCAAGGCAACGAUC
rnacentral:rRNA from 1 species